rnacentral:tRNA from 1 species
GAGAUUGUGGCUCAGCGGAAGAGCACACGUCUAGCACACGUGAGGCCCUGGGUUCGAUCCUCAAUUCCA